rnacentral:rRNA from 1 species
UACGUAGGGUGCGAGCGUUGUCCGGAAUUAUUGGGCGUAAAGAGCUCGUAGGCGGUUUGUCGCGUCUGCCGUGAAAGUCCGGGGCUCAACUCCGGAUCUGCGGUGGGUACGGGCAGACUAGAGUGAUGUAGGGGAGACUGGAAUUCCUGGUGUAGCGGUGAAAUGCGCAGAUAUCAGGAGGAACACCGAUGGCGAAGGCAGGUCUCUGGGCAUUAACUGACGCUGAGGAGCGAAAGCAUGGGGAGCGAACAG